AUGACUUGGGGGCGUCUCCUGUCUAGCUACUUGACUUUGUGUCUCCAGUCUAGCUACAUGACUUGGCGGCAUCUCCUGUCUAGCUACAUGACUUGGUGUCUCCAGUCUAGCUACAUGACUUGGUGGUGUCUCCUGUCUAGCUACAUGACUUGGUGUCUCCUGUCUAGCUACUUGACUUUGUGUCUCCUGUCUAGCUACAUGACUUGGCGGCGUCUCCUGUCUAGCUACAUGACUUGGCGGCAUCUCCUGUCUAGCUACAUGACUUGGUGUCUCCAGUCUAGCUACAUGACUUGGUGGUGUCUCCUGUCUAGCUACAUGACUUGGUGUCUCCUGUCUAGCUACAUGACUUGGUGUCUCCUGUCUAGCUACUUGACUUUGUGUCUCCUGUCUAGCUACAUGACUUGGCGCCAUCUCCAGUCUAGCUACAUGACUUGGCGGUGUCUCCAGUCUAGCUACAUGACUUGGUGUCUCCAGUCUAGCUACAUGACUUGGUGGUGUCUCCUGUCUAGCUACAUGACUUGGUGGCGUCUCCAGUCUAGCUACAUUACUUGGCGGUGUCUCCAGUCUAGCUACAUGACUUGGCGGUGUCUCCUGUCUAGCUACAUGACUUGGCGGUGUCUCCUGUCUAGCUACAUGACUUGGCGGUGUCUCCUGUCUAGCUACAUGACUUGGCGGCGUCUCCAGUCUAGCUACAUGACUUGGCGGCGUCUCCAGUCUAGCUACAUGACUUGGCGGUGUCUCCAGUCUAGCUACAUGACUUGGUGUCUCCUGUCUAGCUACAUUACUUGGCGGUGUCUCCAGUCUAGCUACAUGACUUGGCGGCGUCUCCAGUCUAGCUACAUGACUUGGGAUCGGGUAAAGGUUGAGGGAGAUAAUAUAGUUGUUUUCGAUUUAAUGUAAUGGCCAUAAACUAAGCUAAAUAUGUAUGUGUAAUGUAUUAAUGAAUUCAUUAUAAAUCUCCACCUCAGAGCAACACAAAUCUUCCCAUGCAGCGUCAUACCAGAGAGGAUGGAGAUGAAAACCUACUGUGUAUAUAUACACCUACUGUGUAUAUAUACACCUACUGUGUGUAUAUAUACACCUACUGUGUGUAUAUAUACACCUACUGUGUAUAUAAACACCUACUGUGUAUAUAUAAACCUACUGUGUAU
rnacentral:lncRNA from 1 species